CCGGGAGCAGCGGGCAGCCUGGGCGGAACCAUGUGACAGGAUGGCUUGGAGGAAGUGCAGCCCCCCAGCGCCGCGCGGAGAUGGUGAGCAUGGCUGGCUACCGCACCAAAUGGGCGCCUGCUUGGACCACUGCUGAGCUGUUGGAUCUGAUCAGUAUAUGGGGAAAGGAGUCUGUUCAGUCGCAGCUGUGAGUGACCCAUAGGAAUCAGGACACAUAUGGGGAAAUUUCUUGAGUCCUGUGUGAAAAGGGCUCUGAUUGGGACAUGCAGCAGUGCAGAAUGAAGAUAAAGGAGCUGAGGCAGGUGUACCAUAAGGCGUGGCAGGCAAACCAUCGCUUCGGUGGUGCACCUAAGACCUGCUGCUUCUAUAACGAACUGAACGCUAUCCGCAGGGGUGACCCCACCUCCAUCGCCGAUUGCCCCAUGGAUACUUCGGAGGCAGCAGAAAGAGGGGGUAACCCAGAGGCUGAAAUUCUGGAUGAAGAAGUCGAGCUAUAAGAGGAUGUGGAGCUCCCAGCAGGGUCGCCCAGUGGGGCAGGCAGCCAGGAACUUUUCUCCAUUCCAGAAGUGCUCUGUGGGGAGCAGGAAGCAGACAAGACGCCAGCAGCUGAGACCUUGAGGAAUGCACCACGCACUGCUGCCGACUGGCUUUGGAAGAUAAGGAAGAAGACGAGAUGCAGCAAAGAAGACAGGUUCAGGGAGGUGCUGCAGCGCGAUGAGAGACAGACCAGGGACAGAAUAAAGAAUGCAGUAUUUGCUAGGCACAUGGCAGAGCGGAUGAUAAAAGUUAUGGAGGAUCAGACAGAGAUUCUCAAGUCGUUGAUACAGCUGCAGACUGAGCAGAGCAGAUCCGUGGUUGACCUCCACUGCAGCACAUGCACAUGCACAAUUCUUUGCCAACCACACCCACCUCUAUGCUCACACAUUGCUUUUCACUUCACAGCAGUCCUGAGUUUCCCUAUCACUCCACCCCCUCUUACAGCUUGGACAAUGAUAGCUGUAGCUACACAUAGUUAUGAGGUUUUACCCUUUUUAACAAUCAACAAAGGCCAAGGUAUUUAAUGGUACAGUGUUUUUAUUCUGUGUUCUACAAAAGCGUAUAGCAAUCAAUUCACUCUCGGGAACAGGAUUCUAAAUCAUUUUGUUGCAUAGAUCUUGGGCCCAAAAAUUGUACAUAGAUGUACCAGGGAAGUAACUCCAAAGCAGACAUGUGUUAGUGCCCCUUGUUGUCCAAGUGGUUCCUCAGAGCCUUUCUGAUGUUAAUAGCAGCCCCCUGGGCUUCUCUGACAGCCCUAGCAUCUGGCUGUUCAAACUGUGCAGCCAAGCAUUCUGCCUCAGUGCUCCACACCUGAGCAAACAUUUCACCCUUAGAUUCACACAGAUUAUGCAAAGUGCAGCAUGCGGCUAUGACCGCGGGAAUAUUAUCCUCGGUAAGGUCUAGCCUGCCAUUGAGACACCUCCAGCAAGCUUUCCAACGGCCAAAGGCACAUUCGACUACCAUGCGGCACCUGGCUAGCCUGUUAUUAAAACACUCCUUGCUGCUGUCCAGGUGCCCUGUGUAAGGUUUCAUGAGCCAGGGCUGUAAGGGGUAAGCCGGGUCUCCCAGGAUUACUAUGGGCAUUUCCACAUCCCACACUGUGAUCUUGUGGUCUGGAAAGAAAUUCCCCGACUGCAGCUUUCUGUACAGGCCAUUGUUCCUGAAGAUGCAUGUGUCAUGCACCUUUCCAGACCAGCCUGCAUUGAUGUCUGUGAAACAUACCCAUUGA